rnacentral:rRNA from 1 species
UACGUAGGGGGCUAGCGUUGUCCGGAAUCAUUGGGCGUAAAGAGCGUGUAGGCGGCCCGGUAAGUCCGCUGUAAAAGUCAAAGGCUCAACCUUUGAAUGUCAGUGGAUACUGCCGGGCUAGAGUCCGGAAGAGGCGAGUGGAACUCCUGGUGUAGCGGUGGAAUGCGCAGAUAUCAGGAAGAACACCAACGGCGAAGGCAGCUCGCUGGGACGGUACUGACGCUGAGACGCGAAAGCGUGGGGAGCAUACAGG